rnacentral:rRNA from 1 species
UACGGAGGGUGCAAGCGUUGUCCGGAUUUAUUGGGUUUAAAGGGUGCGUAGGCGGCCAUUUAAGUCUGGGGUGAAAGCCCGUUGCUCAACAACGGAACUGCCCUGGAAACUGGAUGGCUUGAGUACAGACGAGGGUGGCGGAAUGGAUGCUGUAGCGGUGAAAUGCAUAGAUAGCAUCCAGAACCCCGAUUGCGAAGGCAGCUGCCUAGACUGUAACUGACGCUGAGGCACGAAAGCGUUGGGGAGCGAACAGG